rnacentral:rRNA from 1 species
UACGUAGGGGGCAAGCGUUGUCCGGAAUUAUUGGGCGUAAAGAGCGCGUAGGCGGUCCGAUAAGUCGGCUGUGAAAGUCCAGGGCUCAACCCUGGAAAGCCGGCCGAUACUGUCGGACUAGAGUCCGGAAGAGGCAAGUGGAAUUCCCGGUGUAGCGGUGAAAUGCGCAGAUAUCGGGAGGAACACCAAUGGCGAAGGCAGCUGUCUUGGACGGUACUGACGCUGAGGCGCGAAAGCGUGGGGAGCAAACAGG